GUCCACUCGCGUUGGCGGUACAUACACUAAAAUUGGAACGAUACAAAGAUUAGCAUGGCUUCUAAGCAAGGAUGACACGCAAAAUAGUGAAGCGUUUCAUAUAUUU
rnacentral:snRNA from 1 species